CAGAUUAUUCGCACCAUUCAUCGAAUGGUGGGUUAGCGCGCGCAGGAAGCCGACACGAAACCCGCCCCCGAGGCGGGUUUU
rfam:Burkholderia glumae PG1 chromosome 2, complete sequence.